rnacentral:rRNA from 1 species
UAGGGAAUCUUCCACAAUGGACGAAAGUCUGAUGGAGCAACGCCGCGUGAGUGAAGAAGGGUCUCGGCUCGUAAAACUCUGUUGUUAAAGAAGAACAUAUCUGAGAGUAACUGUUCAGGUAUUGACGGUAUUUAACCAGAAAGCCACGGCUAACUACGUGCCAC